rnacentral:rRNA from 1 species
UACGUAGGGUGCAAGCGUUAAUCGGAAUUACUGGGCGUAAAGCGUGCGCAGGCGGUUAUGCAAGACAGAUGUGAAAUCCCCGGGCUCAACCUGGGAACUGCAUUUGUGACUGCAUGGCUAGAGUACGGUAGAGGGGGAUGGAAUUCCGCGUGUAGCAGUGAAAUGCGUAGAUAUGCGGAGGAACACCGAUGGCGAAGGCAAUCCCCUGGACCUGUACUGACGCUCAUGCACGAAAGCGUGGGGAGCA